rnacentral:rRNA from 3 species
UGAGGGGGGCUGCUCCUAGUACGAGAGGACCGGAGUGGACGCAUCACUGGUGUUCGGGUUGUCAUGCCAAUGGCACUGCCCGGUAGCUAAAUGCGGAAGAGAUAAGUGCUGAAAGCAUCUAAGCACGAAACUUGCCCCGAGAUGAGUUCUCCCUGACCCUUUAAGGGUCCUGAAGGAACGUUGAAGACGACGACGUUGAUAGGCCGGGUGUGUAAGCGCAGCGAUGCGUUGAGCUAACCGGUACUAAUGAACCGUGAGGCUUAACCUUACAACGCCGAAGGUGUUU